AUUCUCCCGUGACGGUGACUCCAACGGUUGGCUGAGGACGAUUCCCUGAGCCUUGACAAAGCAGGAGCCCUCCGUGGCGGUGCGUCGGUGUCGAGGCUCCAGUCUGACUAAUCCAGGGGGUCGACAAAACAGAUUCGGGACACUAUGCUACACGGAGGGCCUACCAGGAUGCAGAAACAGCAGACGGAGUCCAGGGAAAGCAGUGCGGCAUCCCAGCCUCAGGCCUGCCCGUACGGUGUUCGGAAAUACUAGGCUUUAGAAUUUCACCAUAUGAAUUUUGGGAGAGAGGAGCACAGUUCAGCCCAUAACUAACACACGCAAGACAAAUCUCUCCUCUGCCUUCUCCUUAUCAGACUACUCAACAUGAAGGCAAUAAGAAUGAAGACCUCUAUGUAUAAUAAUUGACUUCCACUUAAUAAAUAAGGUUACUUGGUACACUGGUCGACAAAACCUUGAAAUGUUGAUGUUUAAGGGCUGUUGAUUGCUGGCAGCAAAGAAGUCCAACUGUGCUGGUACCCGAGAUAGCGUCUCCACAUUUUCUUCCAGGAUCAUCACCUUUGUUCUAAAUAGCUCCCACAUAGUGUGAACAGAAGUCAUAUGUUUUAGAUUUUCUGCCUUGGCACCCAGGAAACCAGUAUGAUUGAGUAAACAUAUUAAACUUCCUCUGCAUUUCCAGCCUGAACAGAUGUUGAGUACAAGCUGAUCCACCUACGUUCAACCUGAGAGAGUCCACAUCCACAGACUGUUUCAUUUCCCUUUUUCAAUUUACAUAGAAGCAUAGAUUCUUGCUGGCAUAUACAAAUGCGCCAUUUAAGGCAAUCAAAAAUGGUUCCACAUCUCAUCUGAUUUCCACAAUUGUUGCUGUAACGAUGGACUACUGAGGAGAGAGACAAUUUCUCUGGCACAUCUUCCCACAUUUUAGCAACAUGUUCAUGGAGAGCCAAUAUUCAGUAAUUACAGCCCAAUUCCUCACAAUUUCACAAUUCGCUAACAAUAUGCAUUUUCACAAUGUAAAGCUGAUUUUCCUUUAACCAAAUCAAACAUGAAAAGAUAGCUGCAUGCAAUGGGCAAUCUAGAUCAUUAGAAGAUUGAUGUAAAAUUAGAGGACACUGAGACUGGAAUAGAUUGCAAACUUCAGGGAGCUCAGAAAACUUGUAAACUCUACAUUUUGAGGAAAUAUGUUGUCGAUGCUUUUGCAACUCUAUGCAGUAACUUAACAAAUAAAGCCUUAAAGUAAC
ensembl:lncRNA MIR663AHG MIR663A host gene